AUUGAUCGGGUGUUGUGCAUGACAGAUUUUCGUUCUGUAGGAAUUGAUAUUUCAAUGAUCAGUG
rnacentral:tRNA from 1 species